rnacentral:lncRNA from 1 species
GAGAAAAAAAAUGGGGGCAUUGUGGGGAUCAAAUCUCACGUAUCAUGGCUUAACCCAUAUGCCACAACUAAAAGACGUGGGACAAUCAAACUUCCCUCCCACGAGAGAAGUGCGAAGCGAGGGAGACACGCUCAUCUGAUCCCAUUACCAUGGAAUGGAGGACGGGAUGCGCAAAGCUAGGGAAGUGGGGCUAAACCCAAGAACUCGAAGCGCUAUAAAAAUCCGGCUAGACCUCCAGCAAAAGGUACGAGAAAUUCAAUUGAACACUAAGAGUACAUUGCACAAACAUUGACUUGAGCGUCAGAGUGACUUUUGCAGGUACUCACCCUAUUCCCACCGUUCGACCUCGGGAACGUAAUCCAGAGUUUUCUUUCAACCAAGGAAGCGUGCGGACUUCAGUCAAGAACCUGUAGAGGUAUUUCUUCUUGAAAGAAAUCCUGCUCCAACAAAGGAAGAGAUUGAGAAUUAGCCAUUUGGAAACAGAUAGAGGUGUGGAUGAGAUUUUCAGUCUAAGGUGGCCAGUGCCAACUGAGUGAGUACAUAUAGACAAAUGGUAUCAGGUAUCAGCACCUUCAAACAGAUCAAGGCUAGCGGUAGCCCAAUUGACAUAUUGCAUAUACACGUGUUUGGUGCAAGUUUACCAUCUAAGUUUGAUAUCCAUUGUUGGGCCACUCUCUCACUGCCCAAGUUUUUCGAGGUUAGGAGUUGUCUGACCUCAGUUCAAUUUAUGAGUGGCUCUCAGUUCAAUUUAUGUUCCUAUUUUUUUGUUGGCUUGCAAGAUGUAUGAUGUGGCUACACCUAUAUGUUUAUCUCUCUCCUCCUAUUGAUUUACCUCUUCAUGUGCAUGGUGCAAGCUUGAUACACAUUAUCAACCCAUUCUCUAGCAGCUUAAGUUUUUGAGGCUCAUGAUGACCUAACACAUGAUAAUACCAUUUCGAAAAAAUAGCAUAAGAUUGUAGGCCCUUUUGUUUAUGUUUCUGAUUUAGUUUUUCUCUAGGAAAUUGUGAGACUUAGAUCGAUGUUAUCAAAUGCAGAACAUGCUCGCCAGUUUUACAAUCGGAUCUCGUGAUACUUAUGAUUGCCAGUUUUAAUCCAAAUGCAUAAAGUUGAAAAACAUAUUGUACCCUUUGCAAAAUUAACUUCUGCACAAGGUGCAGAACAUGAGUGUGAGCCCAGCAGACUUAAAAAUGGUGGACAAGGGAAUUCCAUAUUUCCCAGAACCAAACAACCCUUUCAAAAAUGGCCAGAGGCAGAGCACCAAGCACACACUGCCUGCAACCUCUAAUCGGCCUGACCCGAGCCCAUC